AUAGAUUUUUGUUUACUCAAAUUAAUCUCACCACAAUAUAAAAUUUUUAACCUCUCACACUCACACACACACACACAGGUGACCACACAGGUUUGGUGAAAAACAUAUUUUCAGUUAAGUCUCCGGUGUCCUCCUGCUCGUCUUUGGGCUGUGUGUUUUCGGCGCUCUCCUCCUUUUCUCUGUCAUGUUCCUCCUGAGACUCGUCCUGUUGCUGCUGUAUGUCACGCCCUCACCGGCAGGUGGCACUGCGGCGCGGCUUCAGAGUGCAUGCGUGCACGUGACUGAACUGUGUAAAAUGGACACGUGCCUUGGCUUUUGGUUUCGUUCCUCCUUCUGUUUAGACAUUGGCUGAUGUGCGAGGGUGUCUUCAUUUGAGCCAGGUGUCUGUUUCAGUUUGAUUGUUGGUUAUUUAAACUCCUCGUGUGGCGGCGUACUUCACGCAGUAUUUAUGUUGUAUGAGUAUGUGAAUGUUGAAUACGUUACGUAUGCUAAGCGGUCUUGUUUUCAUGUCCUGUUUCAGUUCCUUGCUUCGCAUCCAGUCUCGUGUUUAAAGCCCGUCUAGACCGCAUUACCUGUGUGUAUUCUGCUAAGUGACAAUAAAGACUUUGAUCUGCACCUGCAUCUGCUCAAGUCCCGUGUCGUAACACUGUAAAACUGCACUGCAGUAAAACUUAUUUCAUAGUACGUCAAUAACGACUGUCACGUACCGUGGGUGGAGACGGAGGCAGUCGCGGGUGACAGGAAUCAAGGCAGAAUAAUCCAACGGGGACAGACAAAGUUCGUGGUAGAUAAACAGGCGAGGAUCAGGCGAUCGGUCAAACAAACAAAAGGAGGCAAGGCAGAGCUCGAAGUCAGUGGUGGAAAAACUGGUCAAAAGGUAGUUUAGUCAAUGUACGAGAAACGGCUUAGAGAAUGACAGAGAAACGAGUCAACUGAACAUUACUUCGCAAAGUCUCCUCUCUUCCAAAGUCUCUCUUAUACCGUGGUGUGAUUGUGUUUGUAAUGGCUUGCAGGUGUGUGCUUAGAACUCUGGGGAGGGUGAGCGCAUGCGUGAGCGGGAGGUGUCGUUUGCAGCGGCCAUGUUGGGAGUGAGUGUUGCGUCCUGGGAAAUUGAGUCUUGGCAGGGCUGAGAUAUGACAGACCCCCCCC
ensembl:lncRNA